GAUGAACGCUGGCGGCGUGCCUAAUACAUGCAAGUCGAGCGAACAGACGAGGAGCUUGCUCCUCUGACGUUAGCGGCGGACGGGUGAGUAACACGUGGAUAACCUACCUAUAAGACUGGGAUAACUUCGGGAAACCGGAGCUAAUACCGGAUAAUAUAUUGAACCGCAUGGUUCAAUAGUGAAAGACGGUUUUGCUGUCACUUAUAGAUGGAUCCGCGCCGCAUUAGCUAGUUGGUAAGGUAACGGCUUACCAAGGCGACGAUGCGUAGCCGACCUGAGAGGGUGAUCGGCCACACUGGAACUGAGACACGGUCCAGACUCCUACGGGAGGCAGCAGUAGGGAAUCUUCCGCAAUGGGCGAAAGCCUGACGGAGCAACGCCGCGUGAGUGAUGAAGGUCUUCGGAUCGUAAAACUCUGUUAUUAGGGAAGAACAAAUGUGUAAGUAACUAUGCACGUCUUGACGGUACCUAAUCAGAAAGCCACGGCUAACUAGGUG
rnacentral:rRNA from 1 species